UUUUCUGGACGCCGGAGCAUGGCGGAUAAAUUCAGCACAGAUUAACCCGUGCUGGAAAGGAAGUCGGGCACAGACACAAAAUAAAACAUCCGGCUUCUUUUCAAAAUAAAACACUCGGAGACGAACAAGUGAAAGGUUUUUAGACGUCAUUUCACCCCGAUGACACCAUGGAUGAGGAGAUGCUGAUUCUAGAAGUCUAGAAGUAGAUUUCCUCCUCUGGAAGGACACAAUCUACUGCUUAUAUGUCUAUGUGUCUGUCUUUAGAGAGACGACUCGUUAUCGUGAGAUUGAACGUGAAUCUGCGGGUUCUUGUGAGUUCUUGCGAUUGUCCGUCAUGAGAAGAGUGUCCGGUUUGGUGGAUGCGGCGAAAAUCGCUGCCGUUCCGGAUCAGAGCCGUUCAGGAUCAGUUCUGGACGUGGUGGAAAUUCAGGGUCAGACUUGAGUUAGACCCAAAGAGGAGACCUGGACCCUCUGCUCUCGUCUCUCUGGAGCUCGUCUG